UACGUAGGCAGCAAGCGUUGUUCGGAGUUACUGGGCGUAAAGAGUGCGUAGGCGGUGUCGAAAGUUUGGCGUGAAAUCUCCCGGCUUAACUGGGAGGGUGCGCCGAAAACUGCGGUGCUGGAGUGUGGGAAAGGCAAGCGGAAUUCCUGGUGUAGCGGUGAAAUGCGUAGAUAUCAGGAGGAACACCGGUGGCGAAGGCGGUUCUCUGGGCCUGUACUGACGCUGAGGAACGAAAGCGUGGGGAGCGAACAGG
rnacentral:rRNA from 1 species